UUGAAAAGAACUUUGAAGAGAGAGUUCAAGAGUACGUGAAACCGUUCAGGGGUAAACCUAAGAAACCCAAAAGAUCGAACGGGGAGAUUCAUCGUCAGCGACGCUGGCUUCGCGUCGGUGGGCGAUGUCCCGCGGUGCCUCGCGGCACUUGCGCGGACACGCCGCCGUGCGUCGAUGUCCGGCGUUCGUCGUCGUGCACUUCUCCCCUAGUAGAACGUCGCGACCCGCUGGGUGUCGGUCUACGGCCCGGGUGCGGUGUCUGACGCGUCGCCGGUAAAACGGCGCGCCGUCAAACCCCCGGUCGCCCGGCCGGCUGCCCGGCGGUACACGCAUGGUAUCAGGCCGCAUCUCUCUCUCUUACGGUUUCGCGCGUAAAAAACGCAAAACUGGAACGAUCGAGUGUGCGUCGAGGCCGUCGCAAGCGCGCGCCACGGUACACGGAGGUUAACGGACCUAGAGCCGUCACCGGUCCUGGCCCGCUGUUGGUCGUACGGGGGAGAAAUCCCAAUUCCUUCGACAGGCCUGCUAACGUCCCCCUCCCCACGUCCCCCACCGUGGGGACGCGCGGGAGAUUCGGGGACCGAUACCGGUCGGCGACGCUACUGCUUUGGGUACUCUUAGGACCCGUCUUGAAACACGGACCAAGGAGUCUAACAUGUACGCGAGUCAUUGGGACUUAGCGGAUACCUAAAGGCGUAAUGAAAGUGAAGGUCGUCCCUGGUUGUCGACCGAGGGAGGAUGGGCCGCGUUUCGCACGCGGCUCCGCACUCCCGGGGCGUCUCGUUCUCAUUGCGAGAAGAGGCGCACCCAGAGCGUACACGUUGGGACCCGAAAGAUGGUGAACUAUGCCUGGUCAGGACGAAGUCAGGGGAAACCCUGAUGGAGGUCCGUAGCGAUUCUGACGUGCAAAUCGAUCGUCGGAACUGGGUAUAGGGGCGAAAGACUAAUCGAACCAUCUAGUAGCUGGUUCCCUCCGAAGUUUCCCUCAGGAUAGCUGGCACUCGGCCGUUCCGCACGGAACGCGCGCGAGUCUCAUCUGGUAAAGCGAAUGAUUAGAGGCCUUGGGGCCGAAACGACCUCAACCUAUUCUCAAACUUUAAAUGGGUGAGAUCUCUGGCUUUCUUGAACUAUGAAGCCACGAGCAUCUCGGAUCAGAGUGCCAAGUGGGCCAUUUUUGGUAAGCAGAACUGGCGCUGUGGGAUGAACCAAACGCAGAGUUAAGGCGCCCAACUCGACGCUCAUGGGACACCAUGAAAGGCGUUGGUUGCUUAAGACAGCAGGACGGUGGCCAUGGAAGUCGGAAUCCGCUAAGGAGUGUGUAACAACUCACCUGCCGAAGCAACUAGCCCUGAAAAUGGAUGGCGCUGAAGCGUCGAGCCUAUACUCUGCCGUCAGCGGCAAGUGGGGCGGCCGUGACGCGCGGGCUUAAACGUACCGACGUUACGCGCCGCCACGAAGCUCUGACGAGUAGGAGGGUCGCGGCGGUGUGCGCAGAAGGGUCU
rnacentral:rRNA from 1 species